rnacentral:lncRNA from 1 species
UUGAAGUCAUAUGAGGGUGUAACAGGAUUGUUAUCAAUGAGAUCCGGAGAAUGAUCGCAUCUGCAUGAAUAUGGAUUCAUGCAUUGCUUUAGAACCGGAACGAGACAAAUUGAAAAGGAAAAUGAAAACAUUGCCAUUUUUUUUUUUUUUUUUUUUAAACUGCAAAAAUAAAUGAAAAACAGGGAACACCGCUUUUAAUUGAAAAACAUCCAUUUAUUUAUGAUGCAAAAAC